GAACUUUUCUCUGUGCCCUGCUUACCAUGGAGUGGCCCAGGAGGAAGACGGGGACCUCUGGGUAGUCCUUCUGGAUGGUGUCUACGUGCUGCAGCACAUCUCUGACAAAAACUUGGAAGUCCGAUACCACCAUCCUCUCUCCCUCGCUCUGUCCAUGGCCAACUGGAAAUGGGAAAAGAGUUUUAGUGUCGCCCCAGCCGCAUGUACAUCAUAUUUAACCCUGUCCAACCGUUACUCCUGAACGGCAAACACUUCAAGCACAGAGAGCUCAAGCAACUUGCCUCAUGGUUCACAGCUAGGAGCACCAGCCAACACCCUUCCUUGGAGAUACUUUUCCAAGGGAGAAGGAAGGGAGUGGGAGGCACACAGAUUAGGAGGAGAUCACACAUCAACUCAAACAAGAUGGUCCAGGGUGCUUGACAAGAUUUCAACAAAGCAACAAUAAAAACCAGGCCCCACGCUGUCCCUCUCAGCUCCGUGGCACUGACGAUGCUCACAGCGUGCUGAGUCUACCAGCUAUCACCAGGCCAUUGCCAUCUUCCCAGCAGCCUUUGUGUGGCCUCCACUGUGCCUUCCUCCCCUAGCGCUACGAGCAGUCCUGUGUUUGCAGAUGGGGACUUUAAAAGGUGACCAAGUUAAAAUGGUAUGACUGAUGUCCUCAUGGAAACAGAGAAUUUGGAUGUCGAAACACAGAGGGACAAUCAUGUCAUAGGUACACAAAGAGGUGGCACCUACAAGCUGAGGAGAAAGACCCAAGGGGAGCCUCUUCACCUUCAACUUCCAGUGACAUGGAAAAAGACAUGGUUGUUAUUUUUAUAAAAAAUUUAUUUUAAAAUUAUUUUUUUAUUAUUUGAUUAUUAUAUAUAUUUAUCAAAUAUAUAAUUUACUUGA